AUGCCGCUCUCUUUCUCCUUCGUGGUUUUGAUAUUUUUUUGUUCAAAAAGGUCAGAUGCAGACUCAGUAACUCAGCCCGAAGGCAUCGUUCCCAUCCAUGAAGGAAAACCUGUGCUUCUUUAUUGCACCUAUGAUUACUCUGGGUCUCCUGUACUCUACUGGUACGAGCAGUAUCCCCAUGAAGCCCCUCGCCUGUUGCUGACACAAUAUGGAGCCUCGGACGAGGAGGAGAAGAGACGCAGGCGAGGGUUCUCUGCUAAACUGGAGAAAGACUCCAAAUCCUUCCACCUGGAGAAAAACUCCAGCGAAGUGAGCGACUCUGCUGUCUACUACUGCGCCUUGAGAGACACAGUGAGCAAAGCCACCUGGGAGCUGAACAAAAACCUCCCUGACUGACAGAAACACAAAGGGCUGAAAUAGCCAAGAUUUCGCGUGUCAAGCCCUCAGAGUGCAAUCUCUGUUCCUUCAUAUCUUUGUUUUAUUCUUCACCUUCUCCCCCAACUCUUUUUUUUUACCCUAGCCCUGGGUAGCAUUUGGAUUACAAUUAGGAGUCAGGGAUUAAAGGUUAUUACGGUUUUAUCUAAUGUAGGUUAAAUGUAUGUGUAUCACUGAGGUUAAGGAUUAGGGUUGGAAUACCAGUCAGUUUAAGGAUUAGGGUUAGAGUUAACGCUUUGGGUUGGGGCACAGUCAGGAGCUAGAGGGGUGGAGAUUAGAGUUACACCGAUUAAGGGGGAUGGGGGGCAAACUUUGUGUCCUGAGGCCCACACUGGGGUUCCAAAACUGUAUGGAGGGCCGGGUAGGGAAGGCUGUGCCACCCCAAACAGCCUGGCCCUCGCCCCCUAUCGGCCCCUCCCACUUCCC